CAGUCGAACGAACUCUGGUAUUGAUUGGUGCUUGCAUCAUGAUUUACAUUUGAGUGAGUGGCGAACUGGUGAGUAACACGUGGGAAACCUGCCCAGAAGCGGGGGAUAACACCUGGAAACAGAUGCUAAUACCGCAUAACAACUUGGACCGCAUGGUCCGAGUUUGAAAGAUGGCUUCGGCUAUCACUUUUGGAUGGUCCCGCGGCGUAUUAGCUAGAUGGUGGGGUAACGGCUCACCAUGGCAAUGAUACGUAGCCGACCUGAGAGGGUAAUCGGCCACAUUGGGACUGAGACACGGCCCAAACUCCUACGGGAGGCAGCAGUAGGGAAUCUUCCACAAUGGACGAAAGUCUGAUGGAGCAACGCCGCGUGAGUGAAGAAGGGUUUCGGCUCGUAAAACUCUGUUGUUAAAGAAGAACAUAUCUGAGAGUAACUGUUCAGGUAUUGACGGUAUUUAACCAGAAAGCCACGGCUAACUACGUGCCAGCAGCCGCGGUAAUACGUAGGUGGCAAGCGUUGUCCGGAUUUAUUGGGCGUAAAGCGAGCGCAGGCGGUUUUUUAAGUCUGAUGUGAAAGCCUUCGGCUCAACCGAAGAAGUGCAUCGGAAACUGGGAAACUUGAGUGCAGAAGAGGACAGUGGAACUCCAUGUGUAGCGGUGAAAUGCGUAGAUAUAUGGAAGAACACCAGUGGCGAAGGCGGCUGUCUGGUCUGUAACUGACGCUGAGGCUCGAAAGUAUGGGUAGCAAACAGGAUUAGAUACCCUGGUAGUCCAUACCGUAAACGAUGAAUGCUAAGUGUUGGAGGGUUUCCGCCCUUCAGUGCUGCAGCUAACGCAUUAAGCAUUCCGCCUGGGGAGUACGGCCGCAAGGCUGAAACUCAAAGGAAUUGACGGGGGCCCGCACAAGCGGUGGAGCAUGUGGUUUAAUUCGAAGCUACGCGAAGAACCUUACCAGGUCUUGACAUACUAUGCAAAUCUAAGAGAUUAGACGUUCCCUUCGGGGACAUGGAUACAGGUGGUGCAUGGUUGUCGUCAGCUCGUGUCGUGAGAUGUUGGGUUAAGUCCCGCAACGAGCGCAACCCUUAUUAUCAGUUGCCAGCAUUAAGUUGGGCACUCUGGUGAGACUGCCGGUGACAAACCGGAGGAAGGUGGGGAUGACGUCAAAUCAUCAUGCCCCUUAUGACCUGGGCUACACACGUGCUACAAUGGAUGGUACAACGAGUUGCGAACUCGCGAGAGUAAGCUAAUCUCUUAAAGCCAUUCUCAGUUCGGAUUGUAGGCUGCAACUCGCCUACAUGAAGUCGGAAUCGCUAGUAAUCGCGGAUCAGCAUGCCGCGGUGAAUACGUUCCCGGGCCUUGUACACACCGCCCGUCACACCAUGAGAGUUUGUAACACCCAAAGUCGGUGGGGU
rnacentral:rRNA from 2 species